AUUGAACGCUGGCGGCAGGCCUAACACAUGCAAGUCGAGCGGAUGAAGGGAGCUUGCUCCUGGAUUCAGCGGCGGACGGGUGAGUAAUGCCUAGGAAUCUGCCUGGUAGUGUGGGAUAACGUCCUGAAACGGGCGCUAAUACCGCAUACGUCCUUCGGGAGCAAGUGGGGGAUCUUCGGACCUCACGCUAUCUUAUGAGCCUAGGUCGGAUUAGCUAGUUGGUGGGGUAAAGGCCUACCAAGGCGACGAUCCGUAACUGGUCUGAGAGGAUGAUCAGUCACACUGGAAGUGAGAAACGGUCCAGACUCGUACGGGAGGCAGAAGGGGGGAAUAUUGGAAAAUGGGCGAAAGCCUGAACAAGACAUGCCGCGUGUGUGAAGAAGGUCUCGGAUUGUAAAGCACUUUAAGUUGGGAGGAAGGGCAGUAAGUUAAUACCUUGCUGUUUUGACGUUACCAACAGAAUAAGCACCGGCUAACUUCGUG
rnacentral:rRNA from 1 species